UGCAAACAGCAUACAGAUCUGAAUUUCCCCUUCUCUGUGUGUUCCUUCUGUCUCCUUGCCUAUCGUUGACUCCAACGACAGAGUAGCAGGAAGCUCCAGGCAAGGUUUACGAAUGACUGACUGCACUUUCUUCCUUCCUGUGAAGAUGGGCACAUCCUGUAUACAGACCCCAUCGAGCUGUUGUGAAAAAUGAAUGAUGGAGUGUACUACAUUGUGAGAUUCUCAGUGCAGUGCUCAAUGGAAAACACAAUGAGAACGGUGCCUUUUUCUUGUACCUUUUCCCUUAGUCCUCAUUCUCCCUGUUCUCCUGUCUUGAACCCCUUCACAUCGUCUUUGUGAGGACUAGAAGGUGAAGCGGGGAUGACUGUUCCUGCUCUCUCUCUCUGAGCAAAAUGUCUAAGAGGGGACCUGUCCACUGCCACAUCAGCUGACAGACGCCUACAGUUAAUGGGCUCAGGAAAGCCACAGCCCCUGGUAGAGCCCCCUUGGACGGACUAAAACAGUCACAGAGACUUGAGUUUGGUGUAAACAUUCCCAAGUCAGUCAGGAUUCUGUGGGGCAGUUGCUGCCCCCUUGAUGGUCUGACCCUCCCCUAUACUUUGUGUCUUCUUGCUUAAUUGCUUGCUUCUACAUCACGACCAUGUGGUGUUUGAAGACAGGAACUAUGUAGGUCUCUUUAUUUCAGAACGUCUAGUGACACACACUGUGUUCCACAUGGAGGACAUACAUUUGUUGAAAGAGGUAAUGGAGGAAUAAAAUUUGUUCAUAGUAAAAAAUAUUAAACAGAUUCAGUGUUGUAUAGAUAUAAUCUAAGCAGUAUAAUUACAGCCAGCAAAUCUCA